ACGGAGGAUGCAAGCGUUAUCCGGAUUUAUUGGGUUUAAAGGGUGCGUAGGCGGGCUUGUAAGUCAGCGGUGAAAGACUGUCGCUCAACGAUAGCAUUGCCGUUGAUACUGUAGGCCUUGAGUACAUUUGAGGUGGGCGGAAUGUGUAGUGUAGCGGUGAAAUGCUUAGAUAUUACACAGAACACCAAUUGCGAAGGCAGCUCACUAAACUGUAACUGACGCUGAGGCACGAAAGCGUGGGGAUCAAACAGGAUUAGAUACCCUGGUAGUCCACGCCGUAAACUAUGAUCACUGGAUGUAUGGGAUAUACACUAUGCGUCUGAGUAAAAGCAUUAAGUGAUCCACCUGGGGAGUACGUCGGCAACGAUG
rnacentral:rRNA from 1 species